UGGGGAAUAUUGCACAAUGGGGGAAACCCUGAUGCAGCGACGCCGCGUGAGUGAAGAAGGUCUUCGGAUCGUAAAACUCUGUCCUUGGUGAAGAUAAUGACGGUAGCCAAGGAGGAAGCCCCGGCUAACUACGUGCCAGCAGCCGCGGUAAUACGUAGGGGGCGAGCGUUGUCCGGAUUUACUGGGCGUAAAGGGUGAGUAGGCGGUUAUAUGUGUCAGAUGUAAAAGGCUAAGGCUUAACCAUAGUUAGCAUUUGAAACUGUAUGACUUGAGUGCAGGAGAGGUAAGUGGAAUUCCUAGUGUAGCGGUGAAAUGCGUAGAUAUUAGGAGGAACACCAGUGGCGAAGGCGACUUACUGGACUGUAACUGACGCUGAGUCACGAAAGCGUGGGUAGCAAACAGG
rnacentral:rRNA from 1 species